rnacentral:rRNA from 1 species
CGCGUAGGUAACCUGCCUUGUAGCGGGGGAUAACUAUUGGAAACGAUAGCUAAUACCGCAUAACAGCUUUUGACACAUGUUAGAAGCUUGAAAGAUGCAAUUGCAUCACUACGAGAUGGACCUGCGUUGUAUUAGCUAGUAGGUAGGGUAACGGCCUACCUAGGCGACGAUACAUAGCCGACCUGAGAGGGUGAUCGGCCACACUGGGACUGAGACACGGCCCAGACUCCUACGGGAGGCAGCAGUAGGGAAUCUUCGGCAAUGGGGGCAACCCUGACCGAGCAACGCCGCGUGAGUGAAGAAGGUUUUCGGAUCGUAAAGCUCUGUUGUAAGAGAAGAACGUGUGUGAGAGUGGAAAGUUCACACAGUGACGGUAACUUACCAGAAAGGGACGGCUAACUACGUGCCAGCAGCCGCGGUAAUACGUAGGUCCCGAGCGUUGUCCGGACUUAUUGGGCGUAAAGCGAGCGCAGGCGGUUUAAUAAGUCUGAAGUUAAAGGCAGUGGCUUAACCAUUGUUCGCUUUGGAAACUGUUAAACUUGAGUGCAGAAGGG